AAUGAACGCUGGCGGCGUGCCUAACACAUGCAAGUCGUGCGCGAACGGGACUUCGGUCCCUAGUAGAGCGGCGAACGGGUGAGUAACACGUGGGUAACCUGCCUGGGAGCGGGGGAUAACCUGGGGAAACUCGGGCUAAUACCGCAUACGUUCCCGGGGCUUCGGCUCCGGGAGGAAAGAUGGCCUCUGCUCGCAAGCUAUCUCUCCCAGAGGGGCCCGCGUCUGAUUAGCUAGUUGGUGAGGUAACGGCCCACCAAGGCGACGAUCAGUAGCCGGCCUGAGAGGGUGAUCGGCUACACUGGAACUGAGACACGGUCCAGACUCCUACGGGAGGCAGCAGUGGGGAAUAUUGGACAAUGGGGGCAACCCUGAUCCAGCAACGCCGCGUGGGGGAUGAAGGUCUUCGGAUUGUAAACCCCUGUUGAGAGGACGAAGGCUUGAGGGCGAACAGUCCUCAAGCUUGACGGUACCUCGAGAGGAAGCCCCGGCUAACUCUGUGCCAGCAGCCGCGGUAAUACG
rnacentral:rRNA from 1 species